rnacentral:misc_RNA from 1 species
UGUGGGAGCGGGCUUGCCCGCGAUGGCGUCAUGCCAGACAAACUGAUGUCGUCUGACACUCCGUUAUCGCGGGCAAGCCCGCUCCCACA